rnacentral:rRNA from 1 species
CCUACGGGGGGCAGCAGUGAGGAAUAUUGGUCAAUGGCCGAGAGGCUGAACCAGCCAAGUCGCGUGAGGGAAGACGGCCCUACGGGUUGUAAACCUCUUUUGUCGGGGAGCAAAGCGAGUCACGUGUGACUCAUUGAGAGUACCCGAAGAAAAAGCAUCGGCUAACUCCGUGCCAGCAGCCGCGGUAAUACGGAGGAUGCGAGCGUUAUCCGGAUUUAUUGGGUUUAAAGGGUGCGCAGGCGGAGGUGCAAGUCAGCGGUCAAAUUGCGGGGCUCAACCCCGUACUGCCGUUGAAACUGCAGCCCUUGAGUGCGCGAGAAGUAUGCGGAAGGCGUGGUGUAGCGGUGAAAUGCAUAGAUAUCACGCAGAACUCCGAUUGCGAAGGCAGCAUACCGGCGCGCAACUGACGCUCAUGCACGAAAGCGUGGGUAUCGAACAGGAUUAGAUACCCCUGUAGUC